AUCCGGCUGACGAUUCUCAAAUAUGAUGAAACGUGCGUCGCGGAU
rnacentral:hammerhead_ribozyme from 1 species